GGACCUUCAUUUGGACUCGAAUCGGUAAAAGCUCUGGUUCUUUAUGGUGUAUUAAAAAAGCAAAAAGCCUCCAACAUGCUUCAUAUGUUGACAAAUAUCUACAAUCCAAGUGAUGAAUACUUAUUGUCAUGGUGGAGCCAAAAGAGGAUGUACAUGCGGCAACCUUCGUUUUUGGAAUUCGAUGGUAUAAGUCUAUGGAGGAUGAGAGUUUAUAAUAAUUCAUUAGCUUUGAGAAGUUUCUAAGUUCUUUAAACGAUGGGAAAUGUAUCACUUAAUAUAAAAUAAACGACUAAAGGUGAUUAACAAUUGUUUAUCAGCCAUGGCAACACCAAAGUGUUUGUUCUUCAUUAAAUCAUCCAUUCGAUAAUGAAGUUUAAUAUUGAAAACUCUAGAUGUUAUAUCAGGCCUAUCUUCUGGUUUUUGGUUUGGUAUUAAGCUCAACACAGCUUGAAUUUCUUGCCAUUUAUAAUUAUAUGUGAAUGUGAU